rnacentral:tRNA from 1 species
GAGGGUAUAGCUCAGUGGUAGAGCGUGUGCUUAGCAUGCACGAGGUCCUGGGUUCAAUCUCCAGUAGCUCUG